GACAGAGGGUGCAAACGUUGCUCGGAAUUACUGGGCGUAAAGCGCGUGUAGGCGGCUAAGUAAGUCGGGCGUGAAAUCCCACGGCUCAACCGUGGAAGUGCACUCGAAACUGCAUAGCUAGAGUCCUGGAGAGGAAGGUGGAAUGCUUGGUGUAGAGGUGAAAUUCGUAGAUAUCAAGCGGAACACCGGUGGCGAAGGCGGCCUUCUGGACAGUGACUGACGCUGAGACGCGAAAGCGUGGGGAGCAAACAGG
rnacentral:rRNA from 1 species